rnacentral:rRNA from 1 species
ACCUGCUGAAUUUAAGCAUAUAAGUAGGCAGAGGAAGUGACACAAAAGUGGACUCACACAGUAGUUGCGAACGAAGAGUGAAAGACUCAAUUCGAAAUGUGUGGGUUUCUGCCCAUGACAUGAAAUCUCCGAAUGUGUGACUAAGGGUGGUGCAGGUGUGAGCCAUCUUGCAAGAGGGGAGGGCGUGCAUCAACAAGGGUGAGAAUCCUGUGUGUUGCUUGCAGACUUCUGUGUACAGUGCCCAUUUUCAGAAUCAUGCUCUUUGGAACUGGAGUGCAAAGUGGGUGGUMGCUCCCACUCAAAGUCGAACAUGACAUUGGGACUGACAGGGGAGAAGUACCGUGAGGGAAGCGUGAAAAGGACUUUGSAAAGAGAUUUAAAAGAGCCUGCACUUGCUGAGUGCCAAGCACACAGGAUGGCAGAGGUGGGAGAGAUUGCUGCGUGCGUGUGCAMUUCUGGCUGUCACCAGACAGGAGCUUGCCAUGCAUGCUUGUGCUGCAUGUGGAGAUUCYUUUCUUGAGUGCCAGUAUGUAUGUAUGUAGUCGAUGCCUGUUGGCAUUGCUUGUGGUGUAUCCUGGGAUAUGUGAUUGUGUGUGCCUUGUCUGAACGUGCCGAAGGCUCUGUUGCACUGUGACCCAAGCUGUCAGCAUGCCUGUCUGUUUUCACUGUUGGGGAGUCCAUGACCAGUGUGUUUGCGGUGAGCUCCAUUCUGUGUGACCCGUCUUGAAACACGGACCAAGGAGUCUAGCAUAGUUGCAAGCUUGUGGGGGAGAGAACUCAGUGCACAAUGAAGGUGGAGUCCCAGAGUGGGCAUGAGUGUUCAACCAAGCAGCAGGAUGAGGUUUGAGCCUGAGUAUGCCCGCUAGGACCCGAAAGAUGGUGAACUAUGCCUGGGAAGGGCAAAGUCAGGGGAAACUCUGGUGGAGGCUCACAGCGCUACUGACGUGCAAAUCGUUCGU